GAUGAACGCUGGCGGCGUGCCUAAUACAUGCAAGUCGAGCGAAUGGAUUAAGAGCUUGCUCUUAUGAAGUUAGCGGCGGACGGGUGAGUAACACGUGGGUAACCUGCCCAUAAGACUGGGAUAACUCCGGGAAACCGAGGCUAAUACCGGAUAACAUUUUGAACCGCAUGGUUCGAAAUUGAAAGGCGGCUUCGGCUGUCACUUAUGGAUGGACCCGCGUCGCAUUAGCUAGUUGGUGAGGUAACGGCUCACCAAGGCAACGAUGCGUAGCCGACCUGAGAGGGGGCUCGGGCACACUGGGACUGAGACACGGCCCAGACUCCUACGGGAGGCAGCAGUAGGGAAUCUUCCGCAAUGGACGAAAGUCUGACGGAGCAACGCCGCGUGAGCGAUGAAGGCUUUCGGGUCGUAAAACUCUGUUGUUAGGGAAGAACAAGUGCUAGUUGAAUAAGCUGGCACCUUGACGGUACCUAACCAGAAAGCCACGGCUAACUACGUGCCAGCCGCCGCGGUAA
rnacentral:rRNA from 1 species